UGGAUCGUGACUUCAGACAGUGGAAAAGAAAGAGGCAGUGCCUCAUCUACGGCUGAAUGAGGCUGCGAUCAACCCGUCAGAUAAUCAACGUAAAGUGAGGAAAACAACCGAGAGAAACAUUGGGGACCUGUGAUCAUAAUUGUACCACACUCGACCAAAGGUGUAGAGUCCAAAGAAAAAAGAAUUAUGAUUUCAGACUGUGAAGGAAUGAGAAAUCGCUUCGGAGAAGGGGUUGAAUAGAUAAGGAAUCAACAGAGGAAGAAACAGCCGAAUGAGAUUUGUGGAUCACCUUACUUCAUGCAACUAAACACACGUGAUGGACUGAACAUUUUGAUUGCCAGCUCUCUCCUUCAUUCCAAGGCAUGAA